AAGAAUGACAAUGUGGUCAAAAUUUCUCUCUCUGUCAGAGGCCCGUGCGGUGGCGGAUCCCUCCUUUCAGGCAAAGGUGCAACUCGCUGUGAAAGCCGCAACUUGUGCAUCUUUUGCCUACUUCUUUUGUGGGACGGUCCCGUUGAUCGUACGCGUCGUCAAAACGGAAAGGGAGAUCACCAAGUCCGGGCCAGCCUAUUAUUUGAAAUGGAAACUGAGUGAAGAGGAGGAAACUGAGGGAAGAGAAACAGAGGCCUUAAGCAUCCAAGUGAAUUUUAUUUUGCUGCUUAUAUAACCUUUAAUUUAAGGGUGCCCUUAAUCUAAUGUAAUAUGUGAGUAAACUGGGGUAUUGCCUUCCAGUUCAGAGCGUCAUGCUUCUUUUCUUGAUUGGGUGACUUACUGUAUCCAGGUUCUUUCACAUGACCUGUUUGAUUUUUUACUCUACCUUAUUUGGGUGGUCUGGAAAGAAAGAAAUCAGAGAGUGUGGGAGUCUAGGGCCUUUUCUCUACACCACGUCUACUUCCAAGCUUUUUCUAGUUUCUCCUUGUUUGUAUCUCUUCAACCAUUGAAGGGUUUCAAAGGUCAGCGUGCAGCAGUUGCUUGGGUACCUCCUCCUGCGGGGUGGAUCAAAGUGAACCUUGAUUGAGCCUUUGAUGAUAGGGCGAAGAAGGGAAGUGUUGGGAUAAUUGUUCGUGACCCGGAUGGGUCUGUUGUAGGGGUUCAUGCUUUAGCGUUGAUGUAGUGUACUCCCCCGACAUUGUGGAAGCACUUGCAGGCAGAGCAGCGUGUGCAUGGGCAUUAGAGUUUAAUCAAUCGCCUGUUAUUUUUGAGAGUGACUGUCUCUCUUUGGUCAAUUCUAUAAACUCAGGUGAUGAAGAUACAUCCCAUUUAGGAAGGGUGAUUGAGGAUAUUCAGGCUCAACUUUGUGGCCUACCGGGUUCCUUCUUUCAACAUGCUUACCGUGAAUCUAACACGGCUGCACAUAGAAUGGCUAAGCAAGCCAUGUUGUCAGGUUUAUUUGCUCACUGGCAGGGAGCUAUUCCUCCAGAUUUGGGAAGUCUUGUUGCUUCCUAUUGUAACAUUUGAACUCUCUGAGUAAUAAAACUUCUUUCGUCCUGCUCUCAAAAAAAAUGUAAUAUGUGAGUAGUUGUAAUUGUUCACGUUUGUAUGUUAACUGUCUAAUGUAAUAUGCGAGUAGUUGUAAUUAUUCGUAUGUAACCGUAUGUCUUUAA